rnacentral:lncRNA from 1 species
GCAAACAAGCACUAAUAUGUUCUGGAAUUGUAAUAGGGAUUUGUUGACCAAGACUUCUACAAAUUUUGAUUGGUUCAAACACUAUCAUUAAAAUUAUGCCCCGUGUGGGAGCCAUUUUCUCAAGAAAGUCAUCAAUUUUUUGACAGUUGCUAAUGAAAAAGAUACCCACUUCUGCCUUUUUUUUUACUUCACCAGAAAUAAAUUAUCACCUAAAUUUGAAGUCUAGAAGGAAAAGACUAUAUCACCCCUGUUUUUACUUUGAAUUACUUGUACACAUUUUCAUCAACCACUAUGUUUGACUAUGUCAAAGAGGGUAUAUUUGGAAAUGGAUUUUUAGGUGAUAAUUUAUUGAUGAGAAAGUCAAAAAAUGGCAGCACUGGGACCCACUUUAAUUCUCAAAUACAAUAUAGCUGGUAUCCCCUCAAUUCAAAAUAUGGGCUCCUUCAAAUCAAUCUCCAUUUCAAUUUUCAUUUUUUCUCUUGCUUCCCUUAUCUUCCACAACACUAACGCAGCCACGUUCAUAAUCCGUAACAAUUGUCCCUUCCCAGUCUGGGCUGCGGCUGUCCCUGUUGGUGGCAGGCUGCUCAACAAUGAGCAAACUUGGACCAUAAAGCCUAGUGUGGGCACUGAAGGGGCUCGAAUUUAGGCUCGAACAAGUUGCAACUUUGAUGACUCUGGUCGUGGUAAAUGUCAAGCAGGAGACUGCAAUGGAUUACUCCAGUGUCAAGGCUAUGGUACACCACCUAACACCAUAGCUGAAUAUGCCCUCAACCAAUUUAAUAACUGGGACUUAUUUGAUAUAUCCCUUGUUGACGGGUUUAAUAUGCCGAUGGAAUUUAGUCCCAAUUCCGGUGGGUGCACCCGCGGAAUCCGCUGCAUUGCUGACAUCAAUGGUCAAUGUCCGAAUUAGCUGAGGUCACCCGGCGGCUGCAACAACCCCUGCACAGCGAGAAGCUGUGGGCCGACAACAUUUACUAAGUUUUUUAAAGAUAGGUGCCCCCAUGCAUAUAGUUACCCUAAAGAUGAUCAGGCCUACACAUUUACUUGUCCUGGAGGAAUCAAUUAUCGAGUGGUCUUUCGCCCUUGAAGCAGAAACUCUUUCCAUGUAAUAAAAAUAUUAUGAGAUAAAUAAUUGAAAAAAAUAAUGUUUGAGUUCAAAUUGGCUGCCAUCAAGUGCAAAUGCUGUAUGAUUUUCAGAUAUGUAUUACAAUAGCUAUUAUGAAGUAGUAUCCCUCUCUUCUAUAAAAAAUAAUCUCUUCUGUGUUUGAAAAACAGAAAAAAUGAGUAAUAAUUUCAUUAAUA